UGGUUUGCAGGUGUAGCAUCAUCAAGAUUCACAUGCAAAUUAAAGGCUAGGUGGUGGUGAGUUAUUGGAUCUUUCUGCCAUAGCUUUUUUGAAGGUGAGAAUCUUGAUGAUGCUGCAUCAGCAAUAGA
rnacentral:pre_miRNA from 1 species